CGUAGGUGGCAAGCGUUGUCCGGAAUUAUUGGGCGUAAAGCGCGCGCAGGCGGCUCCUUAAGUCUGAUGUGAAAGCCCCCGGCUCAACCGGGGAAGGUCAUUGGAAACUGGGGAACUUGAGUGCAGAAGAGAAGAGCGGAAUUCCACGUGUAGCGGUGAAAUGCGUAGAGAUGUGGAGGAACACCAGUGGCGAAGGCGGCUCUUUGGUCUGUAACUGACGCUGAGGCGCGAAAGCGUGGGGAGCAAACAGGAUUAGAUACCCUGGUAGUCCACGCCGUAAACGAUGAGUGCUAAGUGUUAGAGGGUUUCCGCCCUUUAGUGCUGCAGCUAACGCAUUAAGCACUCCGCCUGGGGAGUACGGCCGCAAGGCUG
rnacentral:rRNA from 1 species